rnacentral:tRNA from 1 species
GGAAUAGUAGUCCAUAUAAAGGAUUUUAACCUUGUAAGUUAAAGGAGGUUUCAUUAAAACCCUAUUCCU